rnacentral:misc_RNA from 1 species
GAUGAAGAACGCAGCGAAAUGCGAUACCUGGUGUGAAUUGCAGAAUCCCGCGAACCAUCGAGUCUUUGAACGCAAGUUGCGCCCGAGGCCACCCGGCCGAGGGCACGCCUGCCUGGGCGUCACGCCAAAACACGCUCCCACCCCCCCUCACCGGGGGAGCGGGACGCGGCGUCUGGCCCCCCGUGCCGCGAGGCGCGGUGGGCCGAAGAUCGGGCUGCCGGCGUACCGUGCCGGGCACAGCGCGGGGUGGAUCUCUACUCGGCGCAGUGCACCCGGCGCGUAGCCGGCGCAGCGGCCCCUAAGGACCCAACGAACGGAGCGCGAGCCGCUCCGACCGCGACCCCAGGUCAGGCGGGACUACCCGCUGAGUUUAAGCAUAUCAAUAAGCGGAGGA